rnacentral:rRNA from 1 species
GAUAAUGGCUCAGGAUGAACGCUAGCGACAGGCUUAACACAUGCAAGUCGAGGGGCAGCACAGGUAGCAAUACCGGGUGGCGACCGGCGCACGGGUGAGUAACGCGUAUGCAACUUGCCUAUCAGAGGGGGAUAACCCGGCGAAAGUCGGACUAAUACCGCAUGAAGCAGGGGCCCCGCAUGGGGAUAUUUGCUAAAGAUUCAUCGCUGAUAGAUAGGCAUGCGUUCCA